rnacentral:rRNA from 1 species
GAGUUUGAUCCUGGCUCAGAGCGAACGCUGGCGGCAUGCUUAACACAUGCAAGUCGCACGGUCAGCAAUGGCAGUGGCGGACGGGUGAGUAACACGUAGGAAUCUAUCUCUGGGUGGGGGACAACAGUGGGAAACUACUGCUAAUACCGCAUGAUACCUGAGGGUCAAAGGCGUAAGUCGCCUGGAGAGGAGCCUGCGUCUGAUUAGCUUGUUGGUGGGGUAAAGGCCUACCAAGGCUACGAUCAGUAGCUGGUCUGAGAGGAUGAUCAGCCACAUUGGGACUGAGACACGGCCCAAACUCCUACGGGAGGCAGCAGUGGGGAAUAUUGGACAAUGGGCGAAAGCCUGAUCCAGCAAUGCCGCGUGUGUGAAGAAGGUCUUCGGAUUGUAAAGCACUUUUGGCAGGGACGAUGAUGACGGUACCUGCAGAAUAAGCCCCGGCUAACUUCGUGCCAGCAGCCGCCGCAGUAAG